rnacentral:rRNA from 1 species
CCUACGGGUGGCAACAGUGGGGAAUAUUGGACAAUGGGGGCAACCCUGAUCCAGCCAUGCCGCGUGUGUGAAGAAGGCCCUCGGGUUGUAAAGCACUUUCAGUGAGGAAGAACGCCUGGUGGUUAAUACCCAUCAGGAAAGACAUCACUCACAGAAGAAGCACCGGCUAACUCCGUGCCAGCAGCCGCGGUAAUACGGAGGGUGCGAGCGUUAAUCGGAAUUACUGGGCGUAAAGCGCGCGUAGGUGGCUUGAUAAGCCGGUUGUGAAAGCCCCGGGCUCAACCUGGGAACGGCAUCCGGAACUGUCAAGCUAGAGUGCAGGAGAGGAAGGUAGAAUUCCCUGUGUAGCGGUGAAAUGCGUAGAGAUCGGGAGGAAUACCAGUGGCGAAGGCGGCCUUCUGGACUGACACUGACACUGAGGUGCGAAAGCGUGGGUAGCAAACAGGAUUAGAUACCCUAGUAGUC